UCGCCUUUUACUAAAGAUUUCCGUGGAGAGAAACAAAUACGAGUGUUGUCGAAAUUUUUUAAGGCUCCAUUUUGGUGGAGCU
rnacentral:snRNA from 1 species